GAUCCGUUGCGAAACGUCAAAAUUUGUGUUUUGGACUUGAAUGUCAAAGAGGUUAUUUAAUUUUCAACUUGAUUUUUCUAUUUAUUUUAGCGCUGUAGGAAGUUUAAAAGUGUUUGUGAAUGAUCUACUACACCAAAAAAUAAAUCCAUCGGACAAUCCCAAUGUUCUUCUUAAAAUUAUAACAUCUGCUGGUAAGAUAACCUCAAAAACAAAUCAAAACAAUAGCAACAAAAUCGCGAAAUGGCAACGAAAUUUGACGCGGCUGCUUACAAUUUUCGUAAAAAAUGUCCGUACAUAAGCAAGGAUUUGCUCAGGUGGUUCCCUGGCCACAUGAACAAGGGUCUGAAGCAAAUGCAGCGCAAGUUAACGAGCGUAGACUGUGUCAUCGAAGUUCACGACGCCAGAAUACCCUUCACUGGCAGAAAUCCCAUAUUUACGAAGACCGUAACAGGUGCUAAACCCCACAUAUUGGUCCUGAAUAAAAUGGAUCUGACUAUGAAGUCAUUAAUUCCCAAAAUAAAAGACCAGUUAAAAGCAGAACAAAAUAUAGAGCAUGUAGUGUAUACGAACAGUAAAGACCAACAUUGCCUUGGAUUGAAGAUGUUGAGGCCUCUCAUGGUCGACCUGAUUAAAAACUCAAAUAGAUAUAAUAGGACAGAAGAGUCAGAUUACAAUGUAAUGAUCAUCGGAGUGCCAAAUGUUGGGAAAUCAUCAUUGAUAAAUAUGAUGCGGUCGAAAAACAUGAGUGUGAGACAUGCUUUACCUGUAGGGGCAGUGGCUGGGGUGACUAGAAGUCUGAUGACCAAAAUGAGGAUCAAUAAUGACCCUACUAUAUUCAUGUUGGAUACACCUGGUAUCCUGGAGCCCUCCGUAACUGAUAUUGAGGCGGGUCUGAAGCUAGCGUUGUGUGCGUCGCUGCAAGACCACCUGGUCGGGGAGGAGGCCAUCGCGGACUACCUGCUGUACUGGCUCAACAAGCACGGCAAGUUCAAGUACGUGGACUACAUGGGACUCUUGGAGCCUUGCGAUGAUAUCCACCAGGUGUUAUUCUCGGGCGCGCGCAAGAUGAACCGCGUGCGGCGCGUGCGCGACUUCGACGGCAGCACGCGCGACGUGCCCGAUCUGACCGAGGUGGCACGCACCAUGAUCAAGGCUUUCCGCACCGGCGAGCUGGGCCGCGUGCUUUUGGAUGUAGACUUAUUGAAGAACCAAGCGAGUCACGCUACCCGUAGCACGAGGCAGAUGGCGUAGCACGAGGCAGAUGACGUAGUAACGAGGCAGAUGGCGUAGCAACGAGGCAGAUGGCGUAGCACGAGGCAGAUGGCGUAGUUCAGGGCAAAAGUUCAAAAGGUUAACUUGCACCUUUUGAGAUUGAAGGUAACAAACAAGUUAAGAGCUUGCCAACCUUUUGAGGUGAAGAGCCACCGUAUACACUAAAUAUCAUGUAGCUACGAAGAUUUAUGACUUUUUAUAAUUUUAAUAGUUAAAUAAUUAAUUUUGUGACUGAAACUAGAAAGCACAAAAGACGUGUUAAUUUUUUUUCCUUAAAAUUUCACAAAGCUUGCAAAGCCUAAGUGUUCACUGUGCUGCUAACCAAGCGAGUCACGCUAGCCGUAGUACGAGGCAGAUGGCGUAGCAUGAGGCAGAUGACGUAGUAACGAGACAGAUGACGUAACAACGAGGCAGAUGGCGUAACAAGAGGCAGGUGCCGUAGCUCAGUACUCGGCAACCUUUUGAUGUGGGAGCGAGACACGAUGGCGUAGUUCAGUGCUGCAAACUAACCUUUUGAGAUAGAAGAGCCAAAAAGUAACAAGUUUAGGGCUCGCCAACCUUUUGAGGUUGAGCCAAUAGAAACAAUUUACAAAAAUCCAGUUUGUAAGAACCACAAAAAUUUGAUGACCUGUGGCGUAGAUGACGCCAUCUACGCCACAGGUCAUCAAAGUUCAGGAUGAGCUAAACGUUUGAUAGACAGGCCUUUUGGCGACAGGGUCCCAUACUGUCCAAUAUUAUUUUCAAAAUCCUAAUAUACCUAACUCAAUCCGUUAAUAUUAGCCUAUCGUACGGGACUUCACACCUCUCGUUCCCACCGCUACAACUCCUGUGUAGGCAGGAGGACCUACAGCUAGACCGCCAAUAAAAACCCAACCAGUUGAGGUCAAGUUUAUCCCGGGAGAAAGUUAAACUGUCAUUUGGACCCGCAACGAAAUUAAUCAGAAGAAAAUCCUAGUCUAUCUUUCAAUUAAACUAAUAUGAAGAUCGUUCUGCCUUCUUCCAAAAGUUGCUGUGCUCUAAUGGACCAUGUUGUAUGUGGACAAUAUGGCAAAGCAUUAAAUGAUUGAGUAUUUAAAUAUAUGGCCAAAUAAAUGUAAAUAUUGUAAAUAUGUAAGAUACAUAAUAAAAAGUAGGUAUAUCUCGACAAAA